GAUGAACGCUAGCGGCAGGCUUAACACAUGCAAGUCGAACGGUAACAGGAUUGAUUUAUCAAUUGCUGACGAGUGGCGCACGGGUGCGUAACACGUAUGCAACCUACCCUUUACAGGAGGACAGCCCCGAGAAAUCGGGAUUAAUACUCCAUAGUACCAUAAGAUCGCCUGAUUUAAUGGUUAAAGAUUUAUCGGUAAAGGAUGGGCAUGCGUCCUAUUAGUUUGUUGGUGAGGUAACGGCUCACCAAGACUUCGAUAGGUAGGGGGUCUGAGAGGAUGAUCCCCCACACUGGUACUGAGACACGGACCAGACUCCUACGGGAGGCAGCAGUGAGGAAUAUUGGGCAAUGGAGGCAACUCUGACCCAGCCAUGCCGCGUGCAGGAAGACGGCCCUACGGGUUGUAAACUGCUUUUAUUUGGGAAGAAACCCUAUUACGUGUAAUAGGCUGACGGUACCAAACGAAUAAGCACCGGCUAACUCCG
rnacentral:rRNA from 1 species